CCUACGGGAGGCAGCAGUGAGGAAUAUUGGUCAAUGGUCGGGAGACUGAACCAGCCAAGCCGCGUGAGGGAGGAAGGUACAGAGUAUCGUAAACCUCUUUUGUCAGGGAACAAAGGCGGGGACGUGUCCCCGGAUGAGUGUACCUGAAGAAAAAGCAUCGGCUAACUCCGUGCCAGCAGCCGCGGUAAUACGGAGGCUGCGAGCGUUAUCCGGAUUUAUGGGGUUUAAAGGGUGCGCAGGCGGUCUGUUAAGUCAGCGGUCAAAGCCCGGGGCUCAACCCCGGCCCGCCGUUGAAACUGGCAGUCUCGAGUUGGAGAGAAGUAUGCGGAAUGCGCGGUGUAGCGGUGAAAUGCAUAGAUAUCGCGCAGAACUCCGAUUGCGAAGGCAGCAUGCCGGCUCCACACUGACGCUGAGGCACGAAAGCGUGGGUAUCGAACAGGAUUAGAUACCCGAGUAGUC
rnacentral:rRNA from 1 species